UACGGAGGGAGCUAGCGUUAUUCGGAAUUACUGGGCGUAAAGCGCACGUAGGCGGCUUUGUAAGUUAGAGGUGAAAGCCCGGGGCUCAACCCCGGAAUUGCCUUUAAGACUGCAUCGCUUGAAUCCAGGAGAGGUGAGUGGAAUUCCGAGUGUAGAGGUGAAAUUCGUAGAUAUUCGGAAGAACACCAGUGGCGAAGGGCGGCUCACUGAUGCUGGUAUUGACGCUGAGGUGCGAAAGCGUGGGGAGCAAACAGG
rnacentral:rRNA from 1 species